UAGGGAAUCUUCCACAAUGGACGCAAGUCUGAUGGAGCAACGGCCGCGUGAGUGAAGAAGGUUUUCGGACCGUAAAGCUCUGUUGUUGGUGAAGAAGGAUAGAGGUAGUAACUGGCCUUUAUUUGACGGUAAUCAACCAGAAAGUCACGGCUAACUACGUGCCAGCAGCCGCGGUAAUACGUAGGUGGCAAGCGUUGUCCGGAUUUAUUGGGCGUAAAGCGAGCGCAGGCGGAAGAAUAAGUCUGAUGUGAAAGCCCUCGGCUUAACCGAGGAAUUGCAUCGGAAACUGUUUUCUUGAGUGCAGAAGAGGAGAGUAGAACUCCAUGUGUAGCGGUGGAAUGCGUAGAUAUAUGGAAGAAUACCAGUGGCGAAGGCGGCUCUCUGGUCUGCAACUGACGCUGAGGCUCGAAAGCAUGGGUAGCGAACAGGAUUAGAUACCCUGGUAGUCCAUGCCGUAAACGAUGAGUGCUAAGUGUUGGAGGGUUUCCGCCCUUCAGUGCUGCAGCUAACGCAUUAAGCACUCCGCCUGGGGGAGUACGACCGCAAGGUUGAAAC
rnacentral:rRNA from 1 species